rnacentral:misc_RNA from 1 species
AGCAUGUCUUAAUCCAAAAUGGAAGAUAACUAUGGUAAAGGAGAUGAGAGCUUUGUCAAAAAAUAAGACAUGGAAUCUUGUUUCUCUUCCAUCGGGAAAUAAACUGGUGGAUACAAGUGGGUGUUCAUAGUAAAACAUAAGGUAGAUGGUUCUAUUGAAAGGUAAAGGCCAAGUUAGUGGCUAAAGGUUUCACUCAGACAUGUGAGGUGGAUUGCCUUUGCGCAAAGAUGAAUACUAUCAGAAUCGUAUUGUCUUGUGCAGUAAAUCUUGAAUGAGACUUACAGUGAUUUGAUGUAAAAAAAUACUUUUCUGCAUGGAGACUUAAAGGAGGAGGUGUACAUGGAAAUCCCCCCAGGGUUUGAUAAUGAUAAAACCAAAGGGAAAGUUUGUAGACUGAAGAAGGCUUUGUAUAGUCUGAAGUAGUUACCCAGAGCAUGGUUUGAUAGAUUCAGU